GACGAACGCUGGCGGCGUGCUUAACACAUGCAAGUCGAACGGUGAAGCGCCUUCCUUUUUGGUGGGUGUGGAUGAGUGGCGAACGGGUGAGUAACACGUGAGUAACCUGCCCCCUUCUUCUGGAUAACCGCAUGAAAGUGUGGCUAAUACGGGAUAUUCUGGGUCUGUCGCAUGAUGGGUCUGGGAAAGAUAUUGUUUCGGUGGGGGAUGGGCUCGCGGCCUAUCAGCUUGUUGGUGGGGUGAUGGCCUACCAAGGCGGUGACGGGUGGCCGGCCUGAGAGGGUGGACGGUCACACGGGGACUGAGACACGGCCCAGACUCCUACGGGAGGCAGCAGUGGGGAAUAUUGCACAAUGGGCGCAAGCCUGAUGCAGCGACGCCGCGUGAGGGAUGGAGGCCUUCGGGUUGUGAACCUCUUUCGCCAGUGAAGCAGGCCUGCCUCGUUUGUGGGUGGGUUGACGGUAGCUGGAUAAGAAGCGCCGGCUAACUACGUG
rnacentral:rRNA from 1 species